rnacentral:lncRNA from 10 species
GUUUCUACACUACCACAUUCUUUUAUUUCCUUCCCUACUUCUUUGGCCUUUUCUGAUAAAUUUCCCUCAUUUAUUUCUUUUCCUUUGUCAACUGACUUUUGUUAUUGUUACCCACAUUUACAUCCUUACUUGUUCUGUAUAUACACCCUCCAGAUAUCUCCAGUUAAAUGCCUCACAAAGGGCUCACAAUUAACAUGGUCAUCAUCAUCUGCUUUCAUGCCUUUCCCCACCUUUAAUUAUCUCUUGAAAGGCACCAUCAUCCAUUACCCUAUAGUCUCAAAGCAGCAAUCAUCCUGUAUUUCUCCCUUCUUCUCACGUUAAUCAAUCAUCCAAAUCCUGGAUUUCUCUCUAGCACCUAUCUUUCAUCCCUCACAAUCAUGUAGCUGCCUUAUAAUCUUUGGCUCCAGUCUUUAGGCUGCCAACACAUUAUAUAUGCCUUACUGAUUCUAGAAGAGAUCUCUAUAAAACAGAAUUCUACUCAAGUCAUCACCUGUAGAUUUAGCAGCUCCCCAUCACCUUUAAGAUCGAAUCAAGCUCUUUGCUAUGAUACAACUCUUCAUGACACAGUCUCUAAGCCUCAAGUCAUGUUCCUACCUACUUUAUCAUACUUUAUGUAGGCAAAUUGUUUGUGUUACAGUCUUUCAUGUCUUAUCUUCACAUAUCUCAUUUACUAAAUGUCCCUCAACACUGUUUACCUGGCAAACUUUUGGUUUUAAGAUUCAAAGCAAUCUUUAAGUUUAAAGCAACAGUUCCUCUACAAAGCCUUUACUAAGUCCACUAGACAGAUUCAGGUGUUCUAUUUUUUUAUUACCAGCCCUCGACCAUAAUUCUAUUAUUGCUAUGAUUACACUGCAUUUUUUAACUGUUCGUUAUUUGUCUCUUCCACUAGAUUGUAAAUUCUUUGUGAGAAGGCAGUCUCUUCAGAAUAUUUGUUCAGUUAUGUUAGUUGGAUUAGUGGAUACUGUUCUGUCAAUUUCAUUCAAAUGAAUAAGACAAAAUGAUCAUUACUUGAAGAUGAUAUGAAUAUAUACCUAAAAUUCCUGGAAGAAGCAAAUGAAAAUAUAAUCAUAACAAGAUUAAAAAGCUUGUUCUUAGUACAAAAAAAGUUAGUAAAUAUUAUACAGAAAUGAUAUAAAUGCUUCACAAUAGUAACAAAAAACAUAAAACCUAGGAAUAAACAUAAGAAAUGUGUAAGAUCCAUAAAAAUAUUCCAUACAAUUUUUCUGAAAGACAAAAGGAUAC